UUGCGGCAACAUCACGUUUAAAUAUCGGUCCCGUACGAUCAACCAAGGUAAGCAACAUCGAGCCUGGUCAGUAUCAAGAUGGGUGACCAUUUGGGAAUACCAGGUGCUGUAAU